rnacentral:lncRNA from 1 species
UUAUUAUGUGUGUUCAUACGUACGUACGUGCGUACAUGUACAUACAUACAUACAUACAUACACACACACACACACACAUACACACACAUAUAUAUAUACAAAUUUGAACAAACCAUUUGAAGACACAUACACAAACAAAAUGACUCACCUAAAUAAAUUACCCAUCUAUCCAUAUGAUGUUAACCAGAAAGAUUUUAAUAGCAAAGAGAAAAUUGAGAUAAAUGAGCAAAGUUGUAAGAAAUAUAAUAAAUUAGAAGAAGGAUUAUAUAUAAAUGAUGAAGAAAAAUUGUUAGAAAUAGAAGAAGAGAAAUAUUAUACAUUAUUAAGCAUUGCCUAUGGGUUGAUUGCAAUAUUAGCUGACUCUCCAUAUUUUAUUAUAAUAUCUAUGUCAGAUUAUUUUAAACAAGGUUUUAAUGUAACCGAUAUUAUGAUAAACGAAUUUGCAUUAAUGGAAAGUGUAAUUUUAAUUGUUGUUUGUAUUUUAUUACAUUUGAUUGGAAGUUAUAGAUUAAAAUGGAAUUUAUAUCAACCAUUAUGUACAGCUUUUUGUAUAAGUAUUAUAUUUUUUACUGUUCAUUUAAAAAAUGAUUAUAUAGGACACCGCAUAGUAAUAUAUAGUGCUAUUCCCUUUGCAAUAAUUUCAUGUAUAAUAAAAAUGACAUCAAUUAAAAUUUGUGUUUUAUUUAAAAAACAAUAUUGUAGUGCUUAUGUUUGUGGUUUAUCACUAUCUGGAUUUUUAGUUUUUAUUUUAUAUAUAUUAGGAGCAUAUGUUUUUUGGAAAUAUGAUGAUCAGAAAUUUAAAAAGAUGUUUUCUUUAUUUUGCAGUGUUAUUAUAUGUUUAUCAGUCAUAUGUUAUUUAAUAUUAAAUAAAAUAUAUAAAUUAUCAUUUGUAAAAAAAAUAGCGGAAGAAAAUGAAGAUAAAGGUUUUUCUAUUAAUAAAAAGAUUUUAAUUGAUUCAUUUGAAUCUAUACCAGUCGUUUAUAAAUAUAUACUUUUAGGGUUCGCUUCAAAUUUUAUUUGUUAUCAAAUGUACCCUACUAUUUUUCCAACAUGCACAGAUGCAACUAAAGAAACAAAAGGCAUGUUAUCAGGAAUGAUAUUAUUUGGAGAUUCUACAGCACAUUUGUUAGUUCAUUUUUAUAGUAAGCAUGUAUCCAAAGUUAAAUUUUUAUCAUUUCUUUCAAUUAAAAUUGCUAAAUUAUUAUUUAUACCUAUUUUUUUCAUAUUAAUUAUAGAUACCAAAUCUUUUUUUAAUAAACGAAUUUGUUUGAUUAUAUUAGCUUAUUUAUUUGGUUUUUCACAUGGACUAGUAUCCAAUUCAGUCUUUUUAAAAUUACCAGGUGUAUGUGAAAAAAAAAAUAAACAAGAGCAUCUUAAAAUUGCGUCAAAUGUUGUAUUUUUAUCAUUUAUUUUUGGUACGAUGGUUGGUGUUAUCCUCUCAAAAAUUUACGUUUAUUAUUUCAAUUUUCUCAAGGAUAAAAUAGAAUAAGGU